rnacentral:lncRNA from 1 species
GCUAGUCUAUGCCUAUUGCAGCGUAACCACCUUCUUGAAAAUUUGCUUUGGCUGUUCAUAAUGGAAAUGGAAAAAUGGAAGAACAGUUGAAGUCACUUUUAGCAGGCACCAAUUAUCGCUGAUGGAGAGAGACCGGGACAACUGAGUGGUGACCAGAAUGCGAUUUUACUGUGGGUUUCAUAAGCUUAUAUACCACGCUAGGAAGAAAAAAAUACAGAACUGUCUGGCCAGGUUUAUUGGAUUUUCACCGCAGUAGUAAGAAGAUGUACUAAUUCUGUGGCUGACAUACUGAACUUCUACCCCCUUUUCAAACGAAUGUAAGUUUUAUAUCAAUGUGUCUUUUAAUAAUUAAUAAUUUUCGAUCUACAAGCUGAGU